UACAGGCGUGCAUCACCAUGCUUGGCUAAUUUUUAUAGAGAUGAGGUUUCACCAUGUUGCACAGGCUGGUCUUGAAAUCCUGACCUCAGGUGGUCUGCCUGCCUCAUCCUCCCAAAAUUGGAAUUAACAGGCGUGAGCCACCACGCCCAGCCAAGGGUUUUAAUCUUGCAGGGAUUUCAACAUUUGGGGUGCAACUUAAUUAUUUAAAAAAUAGAGACAGAUUCGUGCUAUGAUACUCAGGAUGGUCUUGAACUCCUGGGCCCAAGUGAUCCUCCUGCUUCAGCCUCUCAAAGUGUUGGAGUUACAGGCAUGAGCCACUGCUCCCCACCAGGGAUGCAAAUUACUUGAUACUCCUCUCUUCAGAAGGUGGGGUCCUGUGCCCCUCCUGAACCCAAGUGUGCUCUGUUACUACUUUGACCAGAUGUGACUCUGCCAUUUCUGGGCCUAGGCUUUUAAAGAUGGUCACUUCUCCAUUUCCUGUGCCUGGAACAUUCUCUGGGAGCCUUGACACCACAUUUGAAGUUGCCUAUUGGGGCUGGCAUGGUGACUCACGCCUGUAAUCCCAGCACUUCAGAAGGCCGAGGCAGGCAGAUCACAUGAAGUCAGGAGUUUGAGACCAGCCUAACCAACGUGGUAAAACCCCGUCUCUACUAAAAAUUACAAAAAUUAGAGGGGCGUGGUGGUGGGCACUUGUAAUCCCAGCUACUCAGGAGGCUGAGGCAGGAGAAUCAUUUGAACCUGGGAGGCGGAGGUUGCAGUGAGGUGAAAUCACGCCACUGCACUCCAGCCUGUGCAACAGAGCGAGGCUCUGUCUCAAAAAAAAAUAGUUGACUGUCGGUUCGGCAUGGUGGCUCAUGCCUCUAGUCCCAGCACUUUGGGAUGCUGAGGCAGGAAGAUUACUGGAGCUCAGGAGUUCGAGACCAGCUUGGGCAAUAUAGUGAAGCCCUAUCUUUACAAAAAACGAAAAAUUAGCUCAGCUACUCAGGAGCCUGAAGUGGAGGAUCAUUUGUGCCCAGGAGGCGGAGGUCGCAUCGAGCUGUGAUCAUGCCACUAUACUCCAUCCUGGGCAACACAGUGAGACGGCAGAAAAAAAAAAAUAGUUGACUACUGACUCUCAUAUCUAAUUGCCCACCUGACAACUCCCCUGAGUGGCCUAAUGGACACAGAGAACUGAUCUACUCCAUUUUCACCCCCAAGCUGGCCCCUCUCCUGCAGUCUUCCCAUCUCAGUCGAUGGCAACACCAUCCUCUUAGUUGCUCAGACUGAAAACCUAGCAGCCAUCCUGGAUUUCUCUCACACUGCCUAUUCAACGUGUGAAUGCAUGAGUGGAAAGCUGAGUUAGCACUCGUGACUGGCCGGGGUCAACUCUGACAUUCACUCCCACUUUCCGCGCGCUGAUUUGUCUCUGAGCGGAUGAAUGUUGGGCCCUGGAGGGCGGGGCCGGGGAGGCGGGCUUGGAGCGAGGGGGCGGGGCAGGCGCCACGGAAACGCGCUCGCGCCGGCGCCGAACCACAACUCCCGGCGGCCCCCGCGCUCCCGGGUGGCAAGAUGGUGGCGCGCAGGAGGAAGCUCGCAGCGCGGGACUCGGAGGACCGUAUCCCGAGCCCACCGUGCUACGCAGGAGAGCCUGUCCCACCUCCUGUCCACCUGUGGCCCUCUGCAGUCUGUAGAGUUGCAGGAGAAGCCGGACCUGGCCGACAGCCCAAAGGAGUCAAGGUCGAAGUUUUUUCAUCCCAAGCCAGUUCCGGGGUUCCGGGUAGGCUACGUGGUGUUCCAGAAGCCAAGUGGGGUGUCAGCGGCCUUGGCCCUGAAGGGCCCCCUGCUGGUGUCCACAGAGAGCCACCCUGUGAAGACUGGCAUUCACAAGUGGAUCAGUGACUACGCAGACUCCGUGCCUGACCCUGAGGCGCUGAGGGUGGAAGUGGACACGUUCAUGGAGGCGUAUGACCAGAAGAUCGCUGAGGAAGAAGCUAAGGCCAAGAAGGAGGAGGGGGUCCCUGACGAGGAGAGCUGGGUGAAGGUGACCCGCUGGGGCCGGCAGCCUGUGCUCCCCCGGACUGAAGCAGCCAGCUUGCGGUUGCUGGAGAGGGAGAGACGGAAGCGCGCCCGAAAAGAGCUGCUCAACUUCUAUGCCUGGCAGCACCGAGAGAGCAAGAUGGAGCAUCUAGCGCAGCUGCGCAAGAAGUUCGAGGAUGACAAGCAGAGGAUCCAGCUGCUGCGGGCCCAGUGCAAAUUCCGACCCUACUGAGCCGUGAGAGCUGCAGUGGAUGGCUGGAGGUGCAGGGCCAGGAGGAACACGAGGGCACCUCAGGCAGAGUGGGCUCCUCCCUCCUUCAUGGGAACACCUCGAGAUGGUUUCCAGAAAGCCAGUAUUGUGGAGCUUGAACUUAGAUGAGAAGAUAAAGACCUCAUCUUUGCUGCUCUCUCCCCAUCCUGCACCACCAGCUCACACCUCCAGGCCUGUCCUGCCAGCUCCUUUCUCCUCCUGGAGUCCGUGGGAGCAGCUCCCGCACCUCCACUGCUUUGCUCAAAAGUCACCUUCUCAUGAGGCCCACCCAGACCCUCCUAUUCAAAAGAGGAAGUGGAGCUGCAGCCUCUCCAACAAUGCUCGCUGCCCUCCCCACUCUGCGUCCUCCACGAGCCCUCCCCUCCUCACACACUCUGUAACCCACCCGGAAGACCUCACAGACAAGCCAACGGGCUCCUGAGACUCCCAACAGCCAGAGAGGUGGGAACAGAUACUCCCUCCUCACAGCCCUCGGAAACAACAAGCCCUGCCGAGGCCUUGACCUUGGACCCUGAACUCCGGAACUGUGGGGGAAUGUGUCUUGGUUGUUUAAGCUCCAGAUUCUGGAGGAUCAGGUUGGACGAUGGGGACGGGGGAGGGAGGUUAUCCCAGUUCUCUGCCCGGCUGCAGAAUAGAAUGUGAACUCUCAGGUGCUGUGGGGCUGGAGGGAAGCAUUUGGGAGGAACCUACAUUGUCCUUGAAGCACUGGGUUGGGGGUUCUGGCUGGGUAUUGUCUUCUUUUAGGUUAACGCUGGGUCCCAAAAGGCCACAACUGCUGCGAAGGGCUUGUCCACACACAACGUUCCAGCCAGCUGACCACUUCCCCAGACCCAGGGGUCACCUCCUUCUCAGCCCUCCCUCUUGCCUGUCCCCUCACUCCCGACACCCACAUAGGGGUGCCUGGUCAGCAUCCUGCAUUCAUUGUUUCCUGUGACCUGGGCCUAAUCCAAUUCCCCAGGCUCAUCCCAGAUUAGCUCACUUCCGUGCCUGGGGCUCCCUAGGUCAGCCAUCUGUGAGGCAUGUCCAGGAAGCCUGGGCCCGGGGUCCUUGACCUCCCCUCCCCAUGAUGGGUUUCCAGGGAGGCAAGAUAAAGGUUCACCCAAGAUGAUCACGAAGACCCAACUGGUCCCAAACUGGCGACCCGAGGCCAAAACAGCCCACAGGUGCCGCUCCUUAGACCCUCAGGGGAUGCUAUCCAUUUCUGGACUCAUGACACCUAAAAAUACAUAGCUCAGCAGAUCAACUGCAGAGCUGAGCAACUGGCAAUUCUGGCCACACGAGACUGAAUUCCCACUUGAUUAGCACCGGCCCAGCUGCCUACCAGGGUGGGCUGUCUCCAGCUCCAAAGUCCCUACGCAUCCCAUAGCCUCCCUCCCGGCCAGCACCCUCAACUCCACAACACACGCCCCCACCCCCACCCCCAGGUGCUGGAGUUUCUGACCCCCGCCUCACUCAGCACUUUAGAAAGGGAAGGCACAUGCCCACCUCGCCUGGUCCGAUGAGCGCAAAAAACCCAAGACCUUGUUUGUCACCUGAGCAAACAAGGGGAGUCUAAAAGGGAAGGGACCGUCCCAAGAUCACUGAGCUGGCAAUGUCAGGAAGCCAGGUUGUGUUGCCCAACUUAGCACAUUUUCCAUCCGACGACACCAUCUCCCUCCAGCUGUUCCCUCACCUUGGGAGAGCUGCCUCCUGGACCAACCCUCUGGAGCAGGCCCCGCCAUGAGUCUCUUUCUAGAGGACCAUGUAUUUCCUUCGUUACAUCUAGAAAAUGUCUAACCGCUCAUGUGCCUGUUCACCUGUUUAUCAUCUACUUCUCUUCCAAGAAUCUAGGCCUCUGCCCAGACUCUUCCUUGCUCAACUCCAGGGGGCGCCAUUUGUGCGCAGCCACCCCUGGAGUUGUGAUGCUGGAGGUCUGGCCCCACUGAGAGAGGGACAGUCGGCUCUUGCUCACUGCAGCCUCAUUGAGCUGGGCCUGUAGCAGACCCUUAGAAAAGACUUCCUGGGCCAGGCACAGUAGCUCACACCUAUAGUCCCAGCUACUCAGGAGGCUGAGGUGGGACGAUCUCUGGAGCCCGGGAGGUGGAGGCUGCAGUGAGCCAUGAUGGUGCCACCACACUCCAGCCUAGGUGACAGAGUGAGACCUCGUCUCAUAAGAAAAAAGAACCAAAGAAAGAAAAAAAAUUCCUGGGUAAAAAGCAAAGUACACAAAUCGCUUGUGCCAGCUGCUGCUCUGAAACCAAGAUACACCAGCUCCACCUCUCCAUUGUGAAAAGCCUCUCCCAAGUCACUCAGCCCCUGGGACGUCCUCACAGCCUGCCCCUGGCGCUGGGCACCCACCCCAGGUCCAGCAGAGCAUGGCCGCGACAUUCACCAACAUUUAGUGCAAGACACCUGACCAAACUCUCCCAGAGCGUGGCUUUCUGGGAUGUGCAGUAGCUGUAUGGCCUCACCCGGGUUGCUUGGCAAUGCUGAGCCUUGGUUUCUCCUGUUGUAAAUUGGAUGAGGGUGCGGCAGGAGGGGGAUUCAGUGAGAUGCUGUUUGCAAAGCAUAUGGUAUCCUGCCUGGUCUAGAGCAAGUCCUUGACAUCCUCGGUAAGAAUAGUGACAAAUAUAAAAUGGCUUUGGACAGCAGAGUCCCUUACCUGUGGCCACCUUCUUGGUUCCUCUUUGCAGGAGGGGCUCCCCGCACUCCUCACUCAAGUGGCUAUUGCUCUUCAGUAACCUGGGGAGACAGAAGGAUGCUGGGUGCCUGGAGGCCAAUAAAAAGGAGGUCAGAUAAAAAGGAGAGGAGGGCCGGGGACGGUGGCUCAUGCCUGUAAUCCCAGCACUUUGGGAGGCCGAGAUGGGCAGAUCACCUGA